rnacentral:rRNA from 1 species
UGGGGAAUAUUGGACAAUGGGCGCAAGCCUGAUCCAGCCAUGCCGCGUGAGUGAUGAAGGCCUUAGGGUUGUAAAGCUCUUUCACCGGGGAAGAUAAUGACGGUACCCGGAGAAGAAGCCCCGGCUAACUCCGUGCCAGCAGCCGCGGUAAUACGGAGGGGGCUAGCGUUGUUCGGAAUUACUGGGCGUAAAGCGCGCGUAGGCGGCUUGCCAAGUUGGGGGUGAAAUCCCGGGGCUCAACCCUGGAACUGCCCUCGAAACUGGUUCGCUCGAGUCCGGGAGAGGUGAGUGGAAUUCCCAGUGUAGAGGUGGAAUUCGUAGAUAUUGGGAAGAACACCAGCGGCGAAGGCGGCUCACUGGACCGGUACUGACGCUGAGGCGCGAAAGCGUGGGGAGCAAACAGGAUUAGAUACCCCCGUAGUCC